UACGUAGGUGGCAAGCGUUGUCCGGAUUUAUUGGGUUUAAAGGGUGCGUAGGUGGUCUAUUAAGUCAGUGCUGAAAUAUCCCGGCUUAACCGGGAGGGUGGCAUUGAUACUGAUGGACUUGAGUGGAGUCGAGGUAGGCGGAAUUGACGUGUAGCGGUGAAAUGCUUAGAUAUCGUCAAGAACACCGAUAGUGUAGACAGCUUACUAGGCUCUAACUGACACUGAGGCACGAAAGUGUGGGAUCAAACAGG
rnacentral:rRNA from 1 species